UGGUUAGCACGCUCGGCUUACAACCAUGAAGUCCCGGGUUCGAAUCCCGGGCGCGGCGAGGCAAAUUGGCAAGCCUCUUAAUGUGUAGCCCAUGUUAGGUUAGGUUAAGCCUCUUAAUGUGUAGCUCCUGUUUACCUAGCAGCAAGUACGUACGGGGUGUAACCCGAGGGGUUGUGCCCUCGCUAUCCCGGUGUAUCAGUGGUCUCUGUCCUACCCGAAGAUCGGUCACUAUGAGUUCCGAGCUCUCCCCGUAGGGGGAACGGCUGCUGGCUGGGUGACCAGCAGACGACCGUAGGUGAAUCACACACACCUAACACUAUUCACCGUAGGUGAAUCACUCACACCUAACACUACAAUAUCACAUACAGUCAUCUAUAAAUGCACAAAAAAAAUCCAUAACAACACACACACCCACUCAUCACACGAGGUGGACCGGCGUGUCAUGUCGUAUGGGGAUGAGAUGGAUGGGUGUGAAGUACUGUUCAUAAAAUGUACCGUAUUAAAACCAGGGUCUCUCAAACGGGGUAGUACCAACUCGGACCAUUCUGAACGACCAACUCUGGCCAUUUUAAUUACAAACUUGAAGCAUCGUUUAUUCCAGCUUGAACUCAAGAUCCAAACCUUAAGUGAAUCAUUCGAAUCAUCCUCUCACCCUCACUCAUGCCCAGUCCAGGUUUCAUUUCUACCCGUAUUAAGCACAUCAUGGACAAAAGUUUGGUGUGCCUCAACAUGAAGUGUCCCCGACAGCUUCACCAUGAGCGAGUGCGUCAUUCCUUGGUGUAGGCAGCACCUCUACCUUGGGCCACCUGUGAACAUCCCUCGGGCCACUGCUGGUCAGCGGGAUCCUCCAGUGAUCCAAGAUCUACUGUUUCGGCUACAGAAGCGUCUCACUUCACUUAAAUGACCAACAAACAAUGCAGCUGGUAUCCCCGUACCUGUAGCCCGGACUAUUUACAUCACAUUUAUUCGUUCGGUUAUUGAUUAUCUCUCUCCGGCCCUGGUUCAUCUUCCCAAGUUUUCCUUACUGCCCCUUGAGAAGUUUCAGAAUCAAGAUUUAAAGAGUUAUUUUAGGAUGCUAGAGUGUGAAUAUGCAAGCGGAGCUUAAAAUGCCAUCCACCAGUGAGAGAAUAGCAUCCAGGUUUACGAGAUUUACAGUCUUCACUCCCCACAGAUCGUGCCACAUUAUUCUCAGAUAAUACGUAAUUCUCUGGAUCCUCGAUCACGCCUGCUUCCUCUCCAGCCUGGUGGCCACAUGCUCGUCAAGACGCUGUGUAGCAUCAUCCGCAGCCUGGAUGGUGUCGUCCCCGAGUGGGAAAUUGUUCCUGGCCCGCCCCCGUAAAUGCUGCCCAUUCCAUAGAUGUGCUACACUCCCACUUCGAAGACUGAUCCUCCCAUAUUGCAAAGACAGCUGGCACUGGAGGCCAUAGCGUUAGUCAAGGCGUCCCACCACCAGUGCACAGAAGGGUCGUUGCGGCCGGAUGGGAAGGCGGGGAGUGCGGUGUUUUCCCUCGACACGGAUGGACCCUCCUCCGGGAGGAUGGGUGGGUCGCAACCUACUUAACUCAUCCAGCUCCUCUUUCUGUGAAUUGUAUGGCGUCUUAGAUGCAGCCAGUCUUCUCUAUCAACGGGGAAUCAGUGGCGUGGUGAUUUGCGAUUCUAAAUCUGGCCUUCAGGCUUUCUCCUCCGUAAAACUUGCCUAUCAAUCUUUAGUGCAACGCAUUCUAUCUCUGAUGAGUGUAAGAGGCCUGACUGUGAAAUUCCUAUGGAUCCCUCUCAUAUUGGUAUUCGGCUGCAGUGACAUGGUAGACAACCUAGCCAAGGCUGCCUGUGACCUGCUUGCUGGUGGUCUGGCUCCCUCACCCUCGCUCUCCUGCUGCUCGAAGAUCCAUGCUGCCAUCCUUGUGGAUACCAGCCACUGCAGGGAUCAGCAGAAACCGACCAGUGUCUCCAUCCAACACUACGAUGCCUUCCGCCCCAACAGGUACAAGUAUCGUCGCCGGGGCCUCAUGGUCAGGAGGCACAAUGUGGUGUCAGCUGCAGUCGCUGGGAAGUGGUUGUGCCCCAGUAUUCCUCCUGCCCUCUGUGUUAUGUCUCUAAUGCCAACACCCUGCAACACUGCCUGACCUGCCCAGAAGUCAGUGACAUGCUCCCCGAAGGGCAGCCGCUACUAGCUAUGUGCCAGUACUUACUGCAACACAACAUAGACCGCGUUCUGGCUCGUCACCCACUCUUUGGUGGCUGCUGACCACACCAUCUUACUGCUUGAACAAAAUUAUUUGUUUAUCUAUCUAUAUUCACUCUUUGUAUGUGUCAGUGCGAGUGUGUGUGUGUGUGUGUGUGUGUGUGUGUGUGUGUGUGUUUAACUAUUCUGUGUAAAACUUAUAUUUUGUCAACGUAAAUCAACUGAAUGACGCCAAGGGACGUAAUAAAUUAAUCAACAACAAAAUCCUAAUGUUAUGCGUGAAUUUUAUUUUUUCAGAGCUUUUAUGGUUUUCUUUUUCAACUACUACAUUUUAUUCAUUUUAU